CUUACAUACACACAACUUGACAAGGUAGAAGAGAUCAAAAACUAGCCGGAGAGAGGAGAGGAGCCCGGCCUGCCGGCGGCGAGAUGUACAACAACCCUCCGCCGCCGCAAGGCAUGUCCUACUACGAGCACGCGCAGAAGCGGCACGAGGAGAAGGGCUGCCUCUACGCAUGCGUGUUCACGGCGCUGUGCUGCUUCUGCUGCUACGAGACCUGCGAGUGCUGCCUCGACUGCCUCUGCUGCUGCUGCAACUAGACCAGGCUGCCGUGCCCGACAUGGACGGAGGCCGCAAGGCGCAGCGGAGACCCACCGGCCUCCGCCGUCGCCUUUCACAAUAAGCAUAUGUGUCUAGUGCCUUAGCUCGAUGAGAACUGUAUCAGAUAUUGCUGUAAUAUCAUAUGCCCAGGACAAGGCUAUCACUGUAAACAUCGAUUAUGGUUUGUGCUGCAUCUUAAUUUAAUUAGCAUCAGAUUCCGGUUCCCUGGCAUCAAA